UGUAUUUUAAUAUACAAACAAUCUUCCCAGAUAAACAAUGGUUUAAACAUUUCCAGUAUAUAGAUAGAAGACAUAUUACAACGUUAAUUAGAAUGCGUACAGGCCAUUGCUUAACAAAAAACCAUUUAUAUAAAAUUAAAGUGAAGGAAGAUCCAUUCUUUUCCGAAUGCAGUCUGUUUGUGUGACCUCUAUCCUAUGUGCCUUUGUGUGUGAUAUAAUCUUCCUUUCAGCACGUCAUUUAUAUAUUUAAUAAAUAAUAAUAAUAACAUUUUACAGUCACAGGUCACAGGUUACCUUCAUAGAAGUUAGUUAUAUUAAAAUUUACCCAUUAUACAUUUUACUCAGAUAAGAAUCAGUGGCCUUGAUAUGGUUUAGAGCCAGUCAACAUCUUGGUCACUCCCAAAUUGAGCUGGCGGUUGCCUUGUAGCAGAGCCAUCAUAAAAAAAGAAGAAGAAGAA
rnacentral:lncRNA from 1 species